rnacentral:tRNA from 1 species
CCAUUUGCUUUUGGUUCAGUGGUAGAAUGCUGGCCUGCCAGGCGGGCGGCCCGAGUUUGAUUCCCGGCCGAUGGA